UACAGAGGGUGCGAGCGUUGUCCGGAAUUACUGGGCGUAAAGCGCACGUAGGCGGAUCUUUAAGUCAGGGGUGAAAUCCUGGAGCUCAACUCCAGAACUGCCUUUGAUACUGAGGACCUUGAGUUCGGGAGAGGUGAGUGGGACUGCGAGUGUAGAGGUGAAAUGCGUAGAUAUCAGGAGGAACACCGGUGGUGUAGACGGCUUACUGGGACCAUAACUGACGCUGAGACACGAAAGCGUUGGGUAGCAAACAGG
rnacentral:rRNA from 1 species